rnacentral:tRNA from 1 species
AAUUUCAUAGUUUAUAAAAAUUUUUAAUUUGCAGUUAAAAGAAAAACAAAAAUCCAAGUUUUGAAGUUA